UUUCCCAGAUGAAAAAGGAUGUUAACCCUGUGGGGAGGCCUGACAUAGACUUCAUUCAAUUUUUAUAAUCAAUCUUCAGUUCAUGUGUCAAUACCUUAUGAGAAAGAGAUAGAUGCUUCUAAUGUUGACUAAAUAAAGUUUAAAACCGUGUCCAAGAAUAAGCAAAAGUUCAAAACAACAUGCUUCAACUCAAUUAGUUAUAAGGUGUCGACCUCUUAUACACCACCCUGCACUGGUAAUGGAAUAGUAUUCAUUUUGUUGCAUGAGAAAUAAGAUAUUCAUCGCAAAACAGAAACGAUAAAUAGUGGUACCUGAGCAAUAUGCUUAACAGGGAUCAGUUUAAUCAUGACAAAUGAUGCAUACCAUCCUUGCUUUAGACCAGAAUAUUUCCAAGAGCCCAUCGGCAUCAUCAUCAAUAUAAAAGAGGGUAUCCAUGGGCAGC
rnacentral:lncRNA from 1 species